rnacentral:rRNA from 1 species
GUGGGGAAUAUUGGACAAUGGGCGCAAGCCUGAUCCAGCCAUGCCGCGUGAGUGAUGAAGGCCUUAGGGUUGUAAAGCUCUUUCAGUGGGGACGAUAAUGACGGUACCCACAGAAGAAGCCCCGGCUAACUUCGUGCCAGCAGCCGCGGUAAUACGAAGGGGGCUAGCGUUGUUCGGAUUUACUGGGCGUAAAGCGCACGUAGGCGGAUCGUUAAGUCGGGGGUGAAAUCCUGGAGCUCAACUCCAGAACUGCCUUUGAUACUGGGUGUCUUGAGUAUGGAAGAGGUAAGUGGAAUUCCGAGUGUAGAGGUGAAAUUCGUAGAUAUUCGGAGGAACACCAGUGGCGAAGGCGGCUUACUGGUCCAUUACUGACGCUGAGGUGCGAAAGCGUGGGGAGCAAACAGGAUUAGAAACCCCAGUAGUCC